rnacentral:rRNA from 1 species
AGUGAACGCUGGCGGUAGGCCUAACACAUGCAAGUCGAACGGCAGCACAGUAAGAGCUUGCUCUUACGGGUGGCGAGUGGCGGACGGGUGAGGAAUACAUCGGAAUCUACUUUUUCGUGGGGGAUAACGUAGGGAAACUUACGCUAAUACCGCAUACGACCUACGGGUGAAAGCAGGGGAUCUUCGGACCUUGCGCGAUUGAAUGAGCCGAUGUCGGAUUAGCGAGUUGGCGGGGUAAAGGCCCACCAAGGCGACGAUCCGUAGCUGGUCUGAGAGGAUGAUCAGCCACACUGGAACUGAGACACGGUCCAGACUCCUACGGGAGGCAGCAGUGGGGAAUAUUGGACAAUGGGCGCAAGCCUGAUCCAGCCAUACCGCGUGGGUGAAGAAGGCCUUCGGGUUGUAAAGCCCUUUUGUUGGGAAAGAAAAGCAGCAGGUUAAUACCCCGCUGUUCUGACGGUACCCAAAGAAUAAGCACCGGCUACCUUCGU